rnacentral:rRNA from 1 species
AUUGAACGCUGGCGGCAUGCCUUACACAUGCAAGUCGAACGGUAACAGGUUAAGCUGACGAGUGGCGAACGGGUGAGUAAUGUAUCGGAACGUGCCCAGUCGUGGGGGAUAACUGCUCGAAAGAGCAGCUAAUAUCGCAUACGACCUGAGGGUGAAAGCGGGGGAUCGCAAGACCUCGCGCGAUUGGAGCGGCCGAUAUCAGAUUAGGUAGUUGGUGGGGUAAAGGCCUACCAAGCCUACGAUCUGUAGCUGGUCUGAGAGGACGACCAGCCACACUGGGACUGAGACACGGCCCAGACUCCUACGGGAGGCAGCAGUGGGGAAUUUUGGACAAUGGACGCAAGUCUGAUCCAGCCAUGCCGCGUGCGGGAAGAAGGCCUUCGGGUUGUAAACCGCUUUUGUCAGGGAAGAAAAGGUUCUGGUUAAUACCUGGGACUCAUGACGGUACCUGAAGAAUAAGCACCGGCUAACUACGUGCCAGCCGCCGCUGUAACAC